rnacentral:rRNA from 1 species
AAGCUCAUUACAACAGCCAUAGUUUAUUGGAUCUUUACGUUCCUACAAGGAUAUAUUGCGGUAAUUCUGGAGCUAAUACUUGCGAAAAACGGCGACCUUACGGAAGUCGUGCAUUUGUUAGACUAAACCAAUCGGUCCUUCGGGACCGUCAUUUGGUGAACUCUGAAUAACUCAGCUGAUCGCACAGUCUCGUACUGGCGACAAAUCCUUCAAGUGUCUGCCUUAUCAACUGUCGAUGGUAGUUUACACGACUACCAUGGUUGUAACGGGUAACGGAGAAUAAGGGUUCGACUCCGGAGAGGGAGCCUGAGAAACGGCUACCACAUCCAAGGAAGGCAGCAGGCGCGCAAAUUACCCACUCUCAGAACGAGGAGGUAGUGACGAAAAAUAACGAGGUGGCCCUCUUUGAGGUCCAUCAUCGGAAUGGGUACAAUUUAAAUCCUUUAACGAGGAUCUAUUGGAGGGCAAGUCUGGUGCCAGCAGCCGCGGUAAUUCCAGCUCCAAUAGCGUAUACUAAAGUUGUUGCGGUUAAAAAGCUCGUAGUUGGAUCUGCGCCAGGUGGAAGCGGUCGCCCGAUGGGUUGUUACUGCUUACCUCUGGCUAACCAUUCGGUUUUCCCUUGAUGCUCUUAAGUGAGUGUCCUGGGUGACCGGAACGUUUACUUUGAAAAAAUUAGAGUGCUCAAAGCAGGCAUUUCGCCCGAAUAUUCGUGCAUGGAAUAAUAAAAGAGGUCCUUGUAGCCUUUUAUUGGUUAUCGCUACGAGGAAAUGAUCGAAGGGGACAGACGGGGGCAUUUGUAUUGCGACGUUAGAGGUGAAAUUCUUGGAUCGUC